CUUGGCACUAGAAGCCGAUGAAGGACGUUACUAACGACGAUAUGCUUUGGGGAGCUGUAAGUAAGCUUUGAUCCAGAGAUUUCCGAAUGGGGAAACCCAGCAUGAGUUAUGUCAUGUUAUCGAUAUGUGAAUACAUAGCAUAUCAGAAGGCACACCCGGAGAACUGAAACAUCUUAGUAACCGGAGGAAGAGAAAGAAAAUUCGAUUCCCUUAGUAGCGGCGAGCGAAACGGGAAGAGCCCAAACCAACAAGCUUGCUUGUUGGGGUUGUAGGACACUCUAUACGGAGUUACAAAGGACGACAUUAGACGAAUCAUCUGGAAAGAUGAAUCAAAGAAGGUAAUAAUCCUGUAGUCGAAAAUGUUGUCUCUCUUGAGUGGAUCCUGAGUACGACGGAGCACGUGAAAUUCCGUCGGAAUCUGGGAGGACCAUCUCCUAAGGCUAAAUACUCUCUAGUGACCGAUAGUGAACCAGUACCGUGAGGGAAAGGUGAAAAGCACCCCGGAAGGGGAGUGAAAUAGAACCUGAAACCGUGUGCUUACAAGUAGUCAGAGCCCGUUAAUGGGUGAUGGCGUGCCUUUUGUAGAAUGAACCGGCGAGUUACGAUUUGAUGCAAGGUUAAGCAGUAAAUGUGGAGCCGUAGCGAAAGCGAGUCUGAAUAGGGCGUUUAGUAUUUGGUCGUAGACCCGAAACCAGGUGAUCUACCCUUGGUCAGGUUGAAGUUCAGGUAACACUGAAUGGAGGACCGAACCGACUUACGUUGAAAAGUGAGCGGAUGAACUGAGGGUAGCGGAGAAAUUCCAAUCGAACCUGGAGAUAGCUGGUUCUCUCCGAAAUAGCUUUAGGGCUAGCCUCAAGUGAUGAUUAUUGGAGGUAGAGCACUGUUUGGACGAGGGGCCCCUCUCGGGUUACCGAAUUCAGACAAACUCCGAAUGCCAAUUAAUUUAACUUGGGAGUCAGAACAUGGGUGAUAAGGUCCGUGUUCGAAAGGGAAACAGCCCAGACCACCAGCUAAGGUCCCAAAAUAUAUGUUAAGUGGAAAAGGAUGUGGCGUUGCCCAGACAACUAGGAUGUUGGCUUAGAAGCAGCCAUCAUUUAAAGAGUGCGUAAUAGCUCACUAGUCGAGUGACACUGCGCCGAAAAUGUACCGGGGCUAAACAUAUUACCGAAGCUGUGGAUUGUCCUUUGGACAAUGGUAGGAGAGCGUUCUAAGGGCGUUGAAGCAUGAUCGUAAGGACAUGUGGAGCGCUUAGAAGUGAGAAUGCCGGUGUGAGUAGCGAAAGACGGGUGAGAAUCCCGUCCACCGAUUGACUAAGGUUUCCAGAGGAAGGCUCGUCCGCUCUGGGUUAGUCGGGUCCUAAGCUGAGGCCGACAGGCGUAGGCGAUGGAUAACAGGUUGAUAUUCCUGUACCACCUAUAAUCGUUUUAAUCGAUGGGGGGACGCAGUAGGAUAGGCGAAGCGUGCGAUUGGAUUGCACGUCUAAGCAGUAAGGCUGAGUAUUAGGCAAAUCCGGUACUCGUUAAGGCUGAGCUGUGAUGGGGAGAAGACAUUGUGUCUUCGAGUCGUUGAUUUCACACUGCCGAGAAAAGCCUCUAGAUAGAAAAUAGGUGCCCGUACCGCAAACCGACACAGGUAGUCAAGAUGAGAAUUCUAAGGUGAGCGAGCGAACUCUCGUUAAGGAACUCGGCAAAAUGACCCCGUAACUUCGGGAGAAGGGGUGCUCUUUAGGGUUAACGCCCAGAAGAGCCGCAGUGAAUAGGCCCAAGCGACUGUUUAUCAAAAACACAGGUCUCUGCUAAACCGUAAGGUGAUGUAUAGGGGCUGACGCCUGCCCGGUGCUGGAAGGUUAAGAGGAGUGGUUAGCUUCUGCGAAGCUACGAAUCGAAGCCCCAGUAAACGGCGGCCGUAACUAUAACGGUCCUAAGGUAGCGAAAUUCCUUGUCGGGUAAGUUCCGACCCGCACGAAAGGCGUAACGAUUUGGGCACUGUCUCAACGAGAGACUCGGUGAAAUCAUAGUACCUGUGAAGAUGCAGGUUACCCGCGACAGGACGGAAAGACCCCGUGGAGCUUUACUGUAGCCUGAUAUUGAAAUUCGGCACAGCUUGUACAGGAUAGGUAGGAGCCUUUGAAACGUGAGCGCUAGCUUACGUGGAGGCGCUGGUGGGAUACUACCCUAGCUGUGUUGGCUUUCUAACCCGCACCACUUAUCGUGGUGGGAGACAGUGUCAGGCGGGCAGUUUGACUGGGGCGGUCGCCUCCUAAAAGGUAACGGAGGCGCUCAAAGGUUCCCUCAGAAUGGUUGGAAAUCAUUCAUAGAGUGUAAAGGCAUAAGGGAGCUUGACUGCGAGACCUACAAGUCGAGCAGGGUCGAAAGACGGACUUAGUGAUCCGGUGGUUCCGCAUGGAAGGGCCAUCGCUCAACGGAUAAAAGCUACCCCGGGGAUAACAGGCUUAUCUCCCCCAAGAGUUCACAUCGACGGGGAGGUUUGGCACCUCGAUGUCGGCUCAUCGCAUCCUGGGGCUGUAGUCGGUCCCAAGGGUUGGGCUGUUCGCCCAUUAAAGCGGUACGCGAGCUGGGUUCAGAACGUCGUGAGACAGUUCGGUCCCUAUCCGUCGUGGGCGUAGGAAAUUUGAGAGGAGCUGUCCUUAGUACGAGAGGACCGGGAUGGACAUACCUCUGGUGUACCAGUUGUCGUGCCAACGGCAUAGCUGGGUAGCUAUGUGUGGACGGGAUAAGUGCUGAAAGCAUCUAAGCAUGAAGCCCCCCUCAAGAUGAGAUUUCCCAACUUCGGUUAUAAGAUCCCUCAAAGAUGAUGAGGUUAAUAGGUUCGAGGUGGAAGCAUGGUGACAUGUGGAGCUGACGAAUACUAA
rnacentral:rRNA from 1 species